rnacentral:misc_RNA from 1 species
CCAUUGAAUUUGAAUACAAACGUAAGGAAUUCAAACAAAGAUGAGGCGAAUUCGGUUACAAAAGAGGCAAAAUUGAGCGCAAAUGGAGCUAAUUCUGUUCCGGUUGCUGACAAUGGGAAGUUUGAUGAUGGUGAUGAUGAUGAUGAUGGGUGGGAGUUCAAGGAUUCACAACCCAAAACUCAUGAGAUUUCUAAGGCAAACCAAAUCAA